UUUAAUAUGGCAGAAAAGUGCAAUAGAUUUAAAUUCUAUAUUAUAAAGUUUAAAAUCUUUUAUUAAAA
rnacentral:tRNA from 1 species